rnacentral:rRNA from 1 species
AGCAGCCGCGGUAAUUCCAGCUCCAAUAGCGUAUAUUAAAGUUGUUGCAGUUAAAAAGCUCGUAGUUGAACUUCGGGAUCAAUUAGUUGGUCAUGCCUUGGUAUGUACUGAUUUUAUUGGUUCUCACCUUCUAAAGAACUAUAAUGUCAUUUAUUUGAUGUUAUAGGGAAUUAGGACUGUUACCUUGAAAAAAUUAGAGUGUUUAAAGCAGGCUCACGCUUGAAUACAUUAGCAUGGAAUAAUGAAAUAGGACAUCGCAUUCUAUUUUGUUGGUUUCUAGGAUCGAUGUAAUGAUUAAUAGGGAUAGUUGGGGGCAUUAGUAUUCAAUUGUCAGAGGUGAAAUUCUUGGAUUUAUUGAAGACUAACUACUGCGAAAGCAUUUGCCAAGGAUGUUUUCAUUAAUCAAGAACGAAAGUUAGGGGAUCGAAGACGAUCAGAUACCGUCGUAGUCUUAACCAUAAACUAUGCCGACUAGGGAUCGGAUGAUGUUGAUUUUUAAUGACUCU